rnacentral:tRNA from 1 species
UGCGGGGUAGUGCAAUGGUAACACGUCAGGCUCUGGACCUGAAGAUCCUGGUUCGAGUCCAGGCCCCGCAGCAA